AAGAGUUUUAGGAGAGUGUGGCCCAUCAGUAGCUGUGGCUCUAAGUAGAGAAACAGCCACUGCCAACUUGCAGCUGGCCAAGGAAGGAGAAAGUGGAAAAUAAAUACCACCCAUCACAGUGCUGCUCUCUGAUCUCCUGCUUUACCUCGCAUGUGCCAAAUCCAGCUCAAAGAGAGAGGGCAUCCAUAAAGCAGAACAUUCAGCCUGCUGGGGAAGAGUGGCAGGGAAAGGUUGAAGAUUGGAGCUGGAGGAAAACGUCAAGAAAAUCAGCACAGUAUUCUUCCAGAGCUUUUUUCUUUGCUCGCCCCAUCUCUCACAUACCUCCGAGUCUUCCUGACUGACCUGGAGUAGACAUUGUUCCUCACCUGACUGCCGAAGGCGAGACGAGGCUUGACUUGCUGCAAGCUGGGCCACUGGGGCACAAGUGUCCUCACUCAGACCACUGACAGGUGGCCAGGUGGAGCAGGCUCAGCAUUAUGUAGCCCUGGAUUUAGUUUUCAACAGGGUGGAUUUAUUUCCCAGCUCCAUCUCUG
rnacentral:lncRNA from 1 species